AAAAAAUACAAAGAAAACCCUAACUCUUUUGACCUACUCCCAUUUAUAAUUUCAUAAGAUUUUCUCCAGAUCUGUGUGUUGAGUCUCUCAAAGGAGGAAGAUUGAUGGUCUUUUCUCUUAAUAUAGAAACAGCAGCAACAACAGCUGGUUUGGCUAUGAUUUCAGCUUUUAUUUACAUUCUUGGGGUUGUUUUUCUUUGUUUUGCAGGUAGUUCAUUUUAAGCUAAUAAUGGUAAUUCAGAGGGAUGACCUGACAGGAGAGAGUGAGCACACGCAGGCAGAUAGAAUGAAAGCUCAUAUCUUUGCCCGCCGUGUGCUCACCUCUCUUCUGUCAGCCAUUAAUUUCACCCUUUUAGCCACAUGUUGUUUUCCCUAGGCAGCCUCUUCUUCUUCUUCUUUUGGUUGUUGUUCUUAUCACAUCAUCAAAACCCAUCUUGUUUUUACACACAAGCUCUCCAUUUGCUUCAGAUAGAGUGGAAGAUUCAUGUUGUUGUUGGCAAACAAAUUAAAAGCACACACUUUAUUUGGAUUUGGGAGGCAAGGAACUGUAUCUGUUUCGGGUUAAUGAUCAAGGUAUCGUCGCCUUUUUUUUUCAAUUUUCUUCAAGCUUGUCAUGGUUAAUGUGUUAUUUUGCAGAAACUCUUUGAUUUUUUUCCAGGUUUUAUUAGUUUAAUUGAGAGUUUGGUAGUUAAUCUAGACAAUAAUGCAUUUCUCUAUAUUGGAAAAGGAGAGUUUUGAGCCUAUAUACUGGUUAAAUUGCAGCUGCUAAUGAUUUAACAUUUGCUGUUUGAGCAUUGAUACUAGUACCCUUUUGAGUUCAUUAGUUAGUGAUAAUGGAUUCUUUGUUCGUAAUGUACGAUUGAAUUCCACUGAUAUCAUCGACUUUGGGAUCAUUUAAUUCGAUUUGAAUGGUACUUUGUUGUUUGAUAAAUUGUUGUAAACAUUUUCAUGCAUAUGAUGUUAAUUUAGAUAUGAAAAGUAACUAAUUUCGAGAGAACCCGACAAAGGGAGCAUACUGAUGGUCAUGCUAAGAUGCAACUUUUGGUUGGGACUUGAUAAAAAGAUGGCCUUGUGCUUGUACAUAUAUGUUCAGAUCAUGAAAUUGUCGAUUGAUUCCAUUUUCCUUGUCCACUUUUAGUGGAUUCUGUUAAUAAACAAGCAUAGUUAUUGGCGAUGCCGCAACGGUACAGUGGCAUUUUGUUAAUGGAACGCCACAAAGUGCUCGAAUUUAGCGGCGCUUAUUUGUUUCUUCGGGAAGAAAUGUUGCUAAAUUUUAUUCCUUCAAGUGCCUUUUGCUUGAAUUCUGGCCAUCUCUGCGUGCAUACACUUUCAUGCCUUCCGUUAACUGAGCAACUUUUGUAGAUGAUCGUUGUGAAGAUAUGUCUGCUGUCGAGAACCACGUCCUAAGUAGCCUAAUUUGGUACUUCUAUCUUAUACUUUCCUUUUCGGUUUGAUAACUUCAGUGAACACCUCAGUUUUUAACUUAAUGUUAUGAGCUCAAAUGUGUGUUUUAUAAUUUGUGAGAGAAAGCAAAAGAAAAAGAAAUUGUCAUGUAUCAAUAUGCUGACUGGCUGCAUUUCAUUUGGUAUGCGAGAUAUUGAAAAUGGAGUCUUCUUCGAAAUCACUAGAAUAGUAAGGAACGGACCUCCGACGGGCUUGAGGUACCGGAUUAGGGUCAAAAGAAGAAGAAA